ensembl:lncRNA
AAUGAGAAAAUAUGAAUUUAUACUAGAACACUAUUAAUCACUGUGAAAAUCAGAAUAACUGCCAAUCUGGCAACUACAUUGCCAAACCCUGGCAACAUUAUGGCCAAGCUCUGGUCCAAGGCGUGACGUGUUGCUUGUUCAUGCUGAGCCCUUUGACCAGAGCAAUAUCACACCAACCCUGGCAACAUUAUGGCCAAGCUCUGGUCCAAGGCGUGACGUGUUGCUUGUUCAUGCUGAGCCCUUUGACCAGAACAGUAUCACACCAACCCUGGCAACAUUAUGGCCAAGCUCUGGUCCAAGGCGUGACGUGUUGCUUGUUCAUGCUGAGCCCUUUGACCAGAACAGUAUCACACCAACCUGGCAACAUCAUGGCCAAGCUCUGGUCCAAGGCGUGACAUGUUGCUUGUUCAUGCUGAGCCCUUUGACCAGAGCAAUAUCACACCAACCCUGCCAACAUUAUGGCCAAGCUCUGGUCCACGGCGUGACGUGUUGCUUGUUCAUGCUGAGCCCUUUGACCAGAGCAAUAUCACACCAACCUGGCAACAUUAUGGCCAAGCUCUGGUCCAAGGUGUGACAUGUUGCUUGUUCAUGCUGAGCCCUUUGACCAGAACAGUAUCACACCAACCUGGCAACAUCAUGGCCUAAUCUUAUUUUCACAUCUAAAAUCUGUCUGAUUUGUCUUCAAGAUCACUGCAUGUUAAAUUAAAGGGUGUUUAUUCUGUCAGCUGAAAUUCAAAUUAAAC